GGCCUUCGGGUUGUAAAGUACUUUCAGCGGGGAGGAAGGGAGUAAAGUUAAUACCUUUGCUCAUUGACGUUACCCGCAGAAGAAGCACCGGCUAACUCCGUGCCAGCAGCCGCGGUAAUACGGAGGGUGCAAGCGUUAAUCGGAAUUACUGGGCGUAAAGCGCACGCAGGCGGUUUGUUAAGUCAGAUGUGAAAUCCCCGGGCUCAACCUGGGAACUGCAUCUGAUACUGGCAAGCUUGAGUCUCGUAGAGGGGGGUAGAAUUCCAGGUGUAGCGGUGAAAUGCGUAGAGAUCUGGAGGAAUACCGGUGGCGAAGGCGGCCCCCUGGACGAAGACUGACGCUCAGGUGCGAAAGCGUGGGGAGCAAACAGGAUU
rnacentral:rRNA from 1 species